AAAUAUGAAGCAAUAUAUUGCACUUAGUUUCGACCUAACCUUUAAGUAAAUUUUUACUCUUAUUUA
rnacentral:tRNA from 1 species